GACAAACGCUGGCGGCGUGCUUAACACAUGCAAGUCGAACGGUACUCCUACGGGAGUAUAGUGGCGGACGGGUGAGUAACACGUAGCUAAUCUACCCUGAUGUGGGGAAUAACCCCUCGAAAGAGGAGCUAAGACCGCAUAAGUUCUCUCUUGUUAGAGAGAGAAGAAACUUUGGCAGUGAAAAGCCAGAGGCGUUAGGAUGAGGCUGCGGCGGAUUAGCUAGAUGGNGGGGUAAAAGCCACCAUGGCGACGAUCCGUAGCUGGUCUGAGAGGACGACCAGCCACACUGGGACUGAGACACGGCCCAGACUCCGUACGGGAGCAGCAGUGAGGAAUAUUCCACAAUGGGCGCAAGCCUGAUGGAGCGACGCCGC
rnacentral:rRNA from 1 species